AAUGUCGUAACAAGGUUUCCGUAGGUGAACCUGCGGAAGGAUCAUUAAAUGAGUAAGGGUUGCUCAGCGCCCGACCUCCAACCCUUUCGAUGUUAAAAGCUACCUUGUUGCUUUGGCGGGACCGCUCGGUCUCGAGCCGCUGGGGAAUUCGUCCCAGGCGAGCGCCCGGCCAGAGUUAAACCAAACUCUUGUUAUUUAACCGGUCGUCUGAGUUAAACUUUUGAUAAAUCAAAG
rnacentral:misc_RNA from 1 species